GGAAGCAAAAGUCGUAACAAGGUUUCCGUAGGUGAACCUGCGGAAGGAUCAUUAAAGAGUAAGGGUCUUCGGGCCCGAUCUCCAACCCUUUGUUUAACUACCAUGUUGCUUUGGCGGGCCCGUCUCACGACCGCCGGAAGUUUGGCUUCGACCAAACUUCUGGCCCGUGCCCGUCAGUGGCCCCUUCAAAUUCUUGAUGAAGUAUGAUGUCUUAGUUAAAAACUUAAUAGUUAAAACUUUCAACAACGGAUCUCUUGGUUCUG
rnacentral:misc_RNA from 1 species